CUUGGAGGAUGUAUAGCGAAAGCUAGUUGUAUUAAUUAUGUCUUUAGUUAAAUGCAGCAUCGACUAUGUCGAAUAAAGUUCUAGGUAGAGUUAUGAUAAUGACAUUUUCUACCUAUGUGUCUUGACCAAAUCACGUGCCAGCAGUCGCGGAAAUACGUGGAAGACUAGUGUUAUUCAUCUUUAAUAGGUUUAAAGGGUACUUAGACGGUAAAUUAAGCCCAGAUAAAAAUAAAGGGUACUAAUUAUACUAGAGUUUAAAUGAGAGGGGGGGUGUAGUAGUGGUGUAGAGAUGAAAUUCUGUCAUACCAAGAUGACAGGCAACGGCGCAAGCAACCUUUUAUGUGUAGACUGACGUUAAAGGACGAAGGCUUUGUAUCACCAACAGGAUUAGGUACCCAAGCAGUCUUAGCAGACAAUUCUGAAUGCCAUAGAUAAGAAAAGAUUCUUUUCUCUCUAUCUCUAUUAAUAAAAAGAGAUAGAUGUUAUUUUGUCUAUAAAUGAAAGUGUAAGCAUUCCACCUCAAGAGUAAUGUGGCAACGCAUAAACUGAAAUCAUUAGACCGUUUCUGAAACCAGUAGUGAAGUAUGUUGUUUAAUUUGAUGGUCCGCACAAAACCUCACCACAAUUUGUAUAUUAUUAUCUUAAUACAGGAGUUGCACGGCUGUCUUCAGUUAAUGUCGUGAGAUUUUGGUUAGUUCCAUUAAAUUAACGUAAACCCUUACU
rnacentral:rRNA from 1 species